rnacentral:rRNA from 1 species
GACGAACGCUGGCGGCGUGGAUUAGGCAUGCAAGUCGAACGGUAUCAUCCUUUCGGGGAUGAGAGAGUGGCGAACGGGUGAGUAACACGUAGGUGAUCUACCCUCAAGACGGGGACAACCCAGGGAAACUUGGGCUAAUACCGGAUGUGAGCAACCUUAGGGUUGUUUGAAAGGUGGCUUCGGCUGCCGCUUGGGGAUGAGCCUGCGUCCUAUUAGCUAGUUGGUGAGGUAACGGCUCACCAAGGCAGUGAUAGGUAGGCGGCCUUAACGGGUGGUCGCCCACACUGGGAUUGAGAUACGGCCCAGACUCCUACGGGAGGCAGCAGUCGAGAAUAGUCUACAAUGGUACGAAAGACUGAUAGUGCGACGCCGCGU